UUGCAGGAGCGUCUGCCCACCGGCACAGGUGCUGAAGAAACACAGAGUGCCGCCCAGUCUGGAUGUAGUGCGUUCAUAACCCGGACGCGAACAGCACUGUCAUCUUUCCCCGGGCCGUCUACCAGCAAGAUUAAUGGUGAUCUUUUCUGCUCUGAUUCUAUGGAUUCUGAAGUGCCCGAUGAGGCCACAUAGGAACCGUAAACUCUUCCAUGAAUGGGUCUGCCUGAAAUUUGUUGGUCUUCCAGUGGAAGGAGAUGUCCGUAGGCAAAUAUCGCCAAGAGCACUUUAUGGAGGAUGGCUGAAGCUCAGUGUGGCCACCGCAAAGACUCUGUGGGGAGGCACCACAUUCUGUCACUGGACACUGUGUAACAACCUUGCAAAGGCUGCAUGAAUGUAGUGGUUAAAGUGGAAAUGUGAGUGGCAUUGACUCAUCGUAAGUGAAUGCAUUGAAUUGUUUCGCAGAAUGCAUGAAGACAAUUACCUGUCCCAGUUAUACACAUAAUGAAUAAAGUGCAUUUGGGGGAAUGAAAAUCUUCACUAUGGCAUUUAUAGCUACAAAGCAAUGAAUGUAAAGGUCAUAUUGAUUAAUGGGUACAGUGUGCAGAACACUUCAUAAUGUGUCAUGCCCUUGGGAGAUCAGAUACAUACCAUCUCUCGGGGAUACAAUUCCAUUAUCCCAAUCACUUCCUUAUCUCCCUUUACACCUGCAAAUGUCAGCUCUCUCACAGAUUCCUAUCAACUCCCUUGUGUUUCUUUGGUGCUAUUAGCCACUCUUAGGGGUGACUUACAGUAGCCAAACUGGUAUAUUGGGGGGAAACCGGAGCAUCCAAGAGAAACGGGAAGACACUGGGAGAACGUGCAAACUCCACAUGGACAUUGUCUACUGCCAGGUUCAAACCCAGAUCUUUAGAGUGACACUGUGACCCCAAAUCUUGCUCCACUGUUGUAGUGUAUAUAAUGCUAACUGUAUCUUUAACAACUGUGUACCAAAUGGGGUUAUUUGUGUCAUGUUAAAUAUUAAUUAUCUUAUCAGUCGUGAAUAUGUGUGCGGGUAUGCGCAGUGUACUUUUGUAAAAUAAAGGAAACCCACACUGGCAACAGUUUGACUGAAAACCUGUCUUUGUUUCUGUCUACUUGCAACUACUGUAGUAUCUUAAAAAUGUCUCGUUCCUCUUAAACACAGUGAUCUACAAACUGUAAGAGGCCCAAAUCCACUAAAAGCCCUGACUAUUGAUAAGAGAUUAUAACACUGUGGCAACGGUGCUGUUCCCACUUGGAGAUGGGACAUUAUUUUUACCUUAAAGGGAAGACAAAAAUGUCAAAGCAAGAGAGGUGGAAAGCAGAUUUAACACAAAGGAAUCAAUAAACAACUUAAGCCCCAAACUUGGUACUUCCUGGAAAUAAAAGCCAAUCUUUAAUUUGAUUGAAUGAAAAGGUUGCUACAUUAAAGGAAGGAAUUGUAUACCUCGCUGCACAUAAUUCUGAACUGUCCAAACAAAAGCAGUAUGAUUAAUGUUUUUACUUUCAAAGGAUUUUUUUUUUUUUCCUUGGAUUUUUAAUUUGAAUGACAUUGUGGGGGUCACAAUUUUCACAGCUGCGAGAUAACUUGUUUAUUGUAGAGCCAAGUACGACCACAAAGAAACAUUAUAACCACGUGGUUUAUCAAGGGAUUGUGAUGCCACACAGAGUGGUUUCUAGUUCCUAAGCACACCUGUUUUUCUUGCAAAGUAUUCCCACCUGUACAUAAAACAAAAGGUCAAUCUUUCAUGUCUGCACAGGAAAGGGCAAGAAUAUAAUAGUUUCUGCGAGCCGUAUUGAGUUGUAUUUCCCUUGCGUUAAUUUUGAUUAAAUCAUCGACUUGAAGAUGGACUGGACUGACAGCAAUCUGUAGCAGAUUUUCCAUGCCACAUCCUAUUCCAUGUUUUGCUUUUGCUGUAAAAUCUGUUAAGAUACUUCUUACAAUAAAAUACUCUGCUGUCAAAGCCUGUUCAGCCCUUGUUCAAGAACAAUCGCCUCAUAUGCAAGGGAAACACAAGGAUGCUCAGAAAAAUACAUAAAAUGCUGGAGUAACUCGGUGGGUCAGGCAGCAUCCAUGGAGAACAAGGGUAGGUAACAUUUUGAGACAGGACCCUCCUUCAAUCUGAAGCAGGAUCCUGACUUGAAAUAUCACAUAUCCACAUUCUCCAGGAAUGUGGCCUGAUAAGAUGAGAUAUUCCAGCACCUUGCAUCUUUUUUGUAAACCAGAAUCUGCAGUUCAUUGUUCCUACAAAGAUAUUCAGACUGUUUGCCUCUUUUCAAGGUUCUUGGAGGCUGUAAAAAAUGCACAAUCCACAGAGUUCUUUAAGACCAGUGGACUUUGUGAUAGAUAUGAUAGAAAACACUCCUCCGUUUUAUGUAGGAAGUAACUGCAGAUGCUGGUUUAAACCGCAGAUAGACACAAAUUGUUGUAGUAACUCAGAGGGACAGGCAGCAUCUCUGGAGAAAAGGAAUGGGUGACGUUUCGGGUCGAGACCCUUCUUCCAUUUUAUGCACCACACCAUUGGAAUUCAGUUGCAUCUUACUGAUGAAUGCAAAACAAAUAGUAUUCUUAGUUUUAUUAUUGGGGGGAAAAAAAGUGCAAGAAAAAGGAAGUUGUAGGAAACAACUGAGACACAAAUGAGAUUCAAGAGGAAUAUUACAUCCAAUUCUGGGCACCACUCUUUGGGUGGGAUAACAAGACGGAGAGGGUGCAGAUGGGAUUUAUUGGAGGAAUGCAGUUCCUGUCCAAGGAAUAGGUGGCAGUGCAUACGUGGAGAUCCCAUCUCUAAAUCUAGUCACCGCUGGAAUGCCUGUUAAUUAAUUGCUGCCAAUCCUGAUGUGUUUGUUGAAGUAGUGUUGACAGACUGCCACUGGAGCCAUUGUAAAGAAGCAGCACAAUGCCACUUACUGGGAGCUCUGCCAGUCUCUGGUCAUAACCGAUUAGCAACAACUCCAGCCAGGAGACUGUGGCCUGAUCCAUUAGUACGUUAUGACGGAGGGAUUCAUCUCUUUUUGUUGCCAAUUAAAGGUUGCCAACAGCUUGCUUUUUAACAAGCGAGUAAGAUCGUAACAGCCUGGCUAUCUGGCAUAUACCAGACUUGCAUGAUCAAAUCUGCUAGUCAUUCGAGUCAAGCUAGGCUGUUCACUCUGAAUUGCAUGCCAUUGGUACAAUGCCAGGGAACAUUGGUUUUUUUUCUAAUGUGGAUCCAAUCAGUUUGAUUGCGGCCAAUGCUAAAAUAGCAAGCAGGUCAGACGGAUGCUUGAUGUAGCUUUGAGAGUACGAGUCAAGAGAGACCUCAUCCUUUCACUCAGCAAUAUGAAGGUACCCUGGCUGGUCGCUGGUGCAGAAUAAGAUACCGCUCCAUAAGCUCUGCUGCAACAUAAAUGCACAGUGGUCACACAACGACAAUGCCAGCUUAUUCCCAUAUAACAUAUUUCUCUCAUCACUCAGUCCCCAACCCUACAUUAGCUCAAGCCGGAAUAUGUAAUAGAAGUUUAAUUGGCAGGCAAAGUACUGCUGACUAGAUAGUUCCAUGAAUUGACCAGCACUGGCACGAUGGGCCAAAAGGCCUCGUUCAGUGUUGUAUUGAUCGAUAGCAUUAUCCUCGCUUGCGUUUGCAGCUCACAUCACUCAGUCUCCCACAGCUACAGGCACCCUGUACCCUCUACUGUCUUGUACCAUCUGGAAACACAGCAUCACUUUCACUCAGUGCCACUUUUCCACCACCUUCCUCACGCCCCUGAACCGCCUCUAAAGUGUGGCACUGAUGAGCUCGGCAUUUCCUUCAGCUGUCCAUUGGGAAACCAAAACCAAAGGAAUCGUUUAUAGUCUUGUUCAUGUACACACCAACUCCAGCUCCCUCCCCAGCACCAGAGGCUGGACCAGGUCGUGCAUAGGCUGAUAUUGCACAUUGCACACCGAGAUGAGCUGCUACUAUCUACUUCAUCAUCAAGGCUUUCACUGUGGCUCAGCUCACUGAUUCCUAAAACAAUUGUCCAUGCCUGGGGGUGACACAGUGGCGCAGCGCUAGAGUUGUUGAUUUAGAGCGUCAGAGAUCCGGGUUCAAGACAUGCAGGUUUGUAGGUUAAUUGGCUUCCGUAAAUUGUCCCGUGUAGGAUAGAACUGGUGUACAAGGGUUCGUUGGUCUGCACAGACUCGGUGGGCCAAUGGGUCUGUUUCCACUCUGUACUUCUACGCUAAACUAAAUAAAAUGCUGUUGCUCUCUCAAGAAUUUAGUCUCCUCAGAGUCUCAACCCUUCAUCUUCCAGCCUCCACAGACUUUGUCAUCCAAAACAUUGCCACUCCUAGCCAAACCCAUAUCACCUGCACCAUCCCAUUCACCCGACAUCCUGGAGCUUCCAAAACUCCCUUGUCCAUGAGAUUCCACAUCCUGAUCAUCAUAUUAAGGAUGGAAGAUACCUGCAUUGGCUUCUUUACGUGAAGCAUCUCCAAAGCCCAUGUUGUUGAUAUUUUCCUUUUUGCUCAUUUCCUGUGGUAGGUUCUUCCAGAUGGAUAGCACAUUCACAGGGAAUGAGACUACCUUUGUCACCACUGCUUCUCGUCAUUGUGUGUAGGAGUUUGCUGACAAGAGUACACUAGUAUUAAUCUGAUGAUCAGCACAUCAAUGAGCAAAGGGAUUUCUGAGGAAUGAGAAGGAGUGGGAAGUAAUAAUUAGCAAAUCAAAAACAAAAUGCUUUAUAUUGCACUGGUUUGCAAGUGGUAAAUCAUGCCAAGACUGUUAAAGCAAUGUUUUGACAAUAAAUAUUUUCCCUUUCUUCACAAUCCCUCCAUUGAUCCCCAUAGCAACUCCAUAUUCUUCACACCCUCCAAGCUGCAGAAUAUUGCAUCUCCUAUUCUGGACUGUGACAAAAACCUGAAUUUUAACUGUUCCUAAAUCAAUGAAACCCCGUUUCUCUGUGCUUGCUGCCUGCCUUGCCGAGCAUAUUUUGGUUAUUCAAUGGCUUGUACAAAAGCGAGCAAUGAACGUUGUAUUGUAAACCAUCAAAUCAUCCCCUCAUGGGAAGGUGGAUUUUCCUUAUGAAUUAUUUCUGAAGCAUAGAUUGUCAAAUGCUUAAAAUGACAGAGCACAGAGGGGGAAAUGUUUUAAUUACUCCUUUAUUGAGCUUGCUGGAAGCAUAUUUACCUCCAUUGGCUAGGCGGCAAAUUAUAAAAAUGUUUCUUUUCUUUUAACGUGGUUAUGGAUAGACAUGAAGGGGCAGCAGGAGUCUCGGAAGUCCCCAUGCGACUGAUUAUUAAUCAUAUGACAGGGUCGGGUCCAGGGCAAUCGGAAAGUCUCCAUAAUAUCAAGCUCAGCAGAGCACUGAGUAGUGCUUGAAAACAUCACACAGAGCAACUGGCCACAGAAAUGCAAAUCACCGGCCCGGUCAAAGGGAGAGGCUGGCAGGUGGCCUCCACAUUCAACUCAUGUCAAUAGUCACCUCAGUUCCACAGCCAUCAGCACAUGUGCAAUGUCAUAUGAGGAAAGAUUGGAAAGACUGGGCUUGCAUUCACUGGAAUUUAGAAGGAUGAGAGGGGAUCUAAUAGAAACAUAUAAAAUUAUAAAAGGACUGGACAAGCUAGAUGCAGGAAAAAUGUUCCCAAUGUUGGGGGAGUCCAGAACCAGGGGCCACAGUCCAAGAAUAAAGGGGAGGCCAUUUAAAACUGAGAUGAGAAAAACGUUUUCACCCAGAGAGCUGUGAAUUUGUAGAAUUCUCUGCCUCAGAAGAUAGUGGAGGCCAAUGCAGUGGGUGCAUUCAAAAGAGAAUUAGAUAGAGACCGGGGCUAGCGGAAUCAAUGGGUAUGGGGAGAAGGCAGGAACGGGGUACUGAUGGUGGACGAUCAACCAUGAUCUCAGUGAAUGGAGGUGCUGGCUCGAAGGGCCAAAUGGCCUCCUCCUGCACCUAUUGUCUAUUGUCUAUGUCUAUGACUGAUUACUACUUCCAAUUAACUGAAACACACCGCCACUCCGUGCGUUACUGUGACGUGACACCACAUAUUUUUAAAGCCCUCCCUUAAAAAAACCCAGAAAAGAGUGUCGUGUGCAAAUAUUUACAGGCUCACAGGGCUGCACUAACUUGGUGCCUGAUGGAUAACUUAUGGUGUGUUCUUGCAACAAAGUGCCACAUGUGCUUCCCAUUGAGCUAAUGAUAGUAUUAAAGGGUGGCAGAGGAAAAACUGUUUGACUUUAUAAUACAUUAAAAUGGCAUGUAUACACACAGGCACUGUGUAGGAGUCACAAAGCUAUAAUUCAACCGAGCAGCUCUUAAUGCAUGUCAGUGAAGCCCUAACAUAAUGUUAACUCUUAUCAUCGCAUCUGUUAUACUGCACUGCUCUGACCUUGGAAGUAUUGAACAAAAGGGAUAUUUUAAUGUGCACAAUUUGCGGUUGUCGGACUGACAAGUUGAGGAGGAAAAUAUUAACAACAGCUGGAGGUCGGGGCAAUAUACUCAAUGGUGUCAAUAUCAAAAUCUAAUGUCACAUCAUUCACACACACGGCUUAUUGUGGAACAACUAUUUGGCUAAUUUAAGGCCUCCUCGUGAAACUUGAGGCCUCCACCCUCCCCCUCACUGUGGUUCAUUCUCAUUGGCCUUCCUUCACUCCACCUCCAUCUCCACCUCCAUCCGCUCAUUGUCCGCCCCCCUGAGAGGUCUGUCCGCCCUUCACGGCCAGUGCUUCUAUCCCACUGGACCACCCACCACUGCGUGCCACACUCGAUGUCUUUGCCACCCUGAGAGGAAUGCUCCCGUCCAUCGAGGCUCCUUAUGCCAGUGGCAUUGACUUUCCAAUCCAGAUUGGUU